rnacentral:rRNA from 1 species
AUGCAAAGAGAUUGCCAUGUUUUCUUUUAUUUCGGUUUAGUUCAUUCCCUUAUAUAUCCAGCUGUUUUCCGUAGAACAAAUAUAAAUGUUCAUGUUGUAAUGGAUGGAUAUGUUGAUGGCAUCGUCAUGUCAUGUAAAUUACAUGCAGAACAAAUCUAUAUUUUUGUUGGGACUAAAAGUGAAAACGAUAUUUGGGACCAAAACUUUUCAAAUAGCUCUGAAUAUGAAUUGGGACCUUGUGCUGUUUGGGGUGGAGCUACAGGGAGUGAGAGGCGGACAACAAUAGGGCGAAGAAGCAUGCCAUUGAGGAGUGCAAGCAGCGGCGCUCCUUCGCAAUGGGGCGUGGCUGCAGGGGAGGGGAGGUGGCCAACGACGGGGAGAAUGAGCAGGUCGUCAAGGAGUGCAAGCAGCAGGUUUCUGUUGACUGGAAGUCUGAAACUGAAGAUAGGGCAUAUUGUUUUGGUUCUGAGUGGUUGGGGAUAUUGUGGAUUGAUGUCCCUAGAGCAGUCAGACCCUUCCAAGAUAGGUGCUAAAAUCCUAGGUGUCAAGGGCAUUGUGGUGGCGCGAUCCAUGUCUACUGCGAUCGCUCGGCAUGGCGUCCAUAGCCCCUUUUGCUGCAUUCUUUGUUUUUCGGAAAAUAUGUUCUUGCUUGAGGGUGAAUAUGUUCAUGAUUCAUAA